rnacentral:misc_RNA from 1 species
AAAGCCAUUAGUAAAACUAAAGAAUAAUGAAUGAGCAAGAAAAGGACAGCAUAAAGUCAAUGUCAUUUACAUCAAACAACACAUAAUUUCAAAAACCUUCCAGAAAUAAUUCUGAAAGUCUUUUUACUUCCCCACUUCAACCACAAGGUUCCAUACAGCAAUCCUUUAAAAGGCAGAAUUCUUAUAACAGCAAUAUGUAUCAAGAAAGAGGACCAAAUGAAACCUACUUAUUUUAAAAAAUAGAAUGGCAACAAUCAAUAGUUAAUGAGCUACUUAAAACAAAGAAACACAGCAUUGUGAGACGCAAAAAGAUGAAGUUACACAUUCAAUGAUAUCUUACCCUUCAUAACAUGGAAGAUCAUGU